AUGCCCUGGGUUUUUUUUUUAAGUUUUAGAAAAGUGUAAAGUUUUUUUAGGAGAGUGUGUAGCUAGGGAACAAUAAUAAUAAUAGAUUGUAACAUAUGAGCAUGUACUCGUGAUAGCGGAGCCCAGGGCCAGUGUCCGUGGUUUAACACACAUACCGCUGGGCAGAAGAGCAGGCCAGAUGGUCCCAGGCGUACAUGUUGCUGAAUUUUCUAAAUUAAGAGCCUAAUUAUUUUAGUACUUGCAUGUCUUUUUAAUGCCUUUAUAAGAUUGUAAUAAAUGUCAUUUUUUUGGUAGAAGAGAACUUAAGUUUCUCUGUAUCUCAUGUUUUUCAGGGAGUUAUAAGGAGGAUAAAUGGUAAUGGGUAAAAAUACAAUAAAAAAUAAAAAUGUAAUACAGAAUAGUUAGCAGUUCAUUGAGGAUUUGUUUGAAACAUCAGUAGUAAAGGCUUUCUAGCCAAAAGUAAAAUUAAAAUUUUUUUAAAUAUUUUAGUUUUUUUGUUAUUAAAGUUCUAAUUGCUGAAACAAAGUAAUAGUAUAGAAUAAGGAUAAGAGUGAAAGUAAUCACUAAACUGGUUAUACUUUCCUGGUCUUGAAAUUAAUAUUUUGUUGAAUCCUUCUUAAAUGUUUUUUUUUGUGUGUGUGUAUUUAAGUUGUUAUUAUAUACCCAGCUCUGGGAUUUGGCUUUUAUUCAAGGCAUCCAUGUACAGGGCGUGACAAAAGCAGGUUACAAUUGUGAGUACGUGAAACAAUGUAUUCUUGUGAUUCUAUUGUUUUCCAUACAAACAACUGGAAACCUACUUCUGCCCCACCCUGUAGAGGUUUCUUACUCUAUUCUUUAUGGCUAGACUCAAUAUGCCAUACAUCAUUCAAGCAUUCUGUAUUGGUUGACAUUGAGAUUGCUUGCAUGUUUUCUGCCAUACAAUGAAUAAAACAGCAUCCUUGAAGAUAUUCUUUGAGAGAGAUUUCUAUAAUGUAGUUUCUUAGAAGGGACUAUUAGCUAGACUUCAAAGUGUUUGUGAGUUGUGUCUGUUGCAAAUUUUGGUAUUGUCAAAAGGUUUUCCUGAAAUGGUGGUGCCAACAUAAACUCCCAUCGCCUCGAUGUGAAUGCCCUUUUCUCGGCACUGUUCCAGUAUUUAAAUUUUACUCAUUAAAUUUUAGUCAGUCUAAGGUGGAAAGUCGGUUAUGAAGUGCCUGGGUUUAAUUCUCAGGUCAAUUGAAAACUGUGGUAUUGGGAAGUUUUACUUAAACUCACAGGGCCAGUAUUUUUUAAUUUGUAAAAUGGCAUAUUAUUUCUGCUUACCCAAUAGGAUUUGUUGUGAGGAUAGAAUGAGACGUGUGCCCAUUGUUUUGAGUGAGCAUGGCCUGAAUCUUUACACUUUAUGAUCCCUUCAAACGCACUCUGCCAGUGGUCUUGUCUUGUCAUUGGAAGAAUAUCGUGUAGGUUCCUUAGUUUUUCUGAUUACCCUUGAGUAUUAAAAAGCCCUCCAGUCCUUUGUAGUCACAAAAGUAAUUUAACACCUUAUCUCAGUAUCUCCUAAUCCAUUUUAAUUGUGCAAAUUAAAAGAAUUUCGACACAUCCACGUAAUCAUGGAAACACCAACACAAGGUAAAAAACACUUCCGUCACCCCCAUAGGUUUCCUAAUGCUUGUUUGCGGCCAUCCUUCCCUUUAGCCCCGCCCCCAGCCCCAGGCAACCACUGAUCUCCAUGCAGACUGAUUGCAUUUUCUAAAAUUUUAUAUAAAUGGAAUCCUAUGGUAUGUAGUCUUGCAUGUCUUUCACUUAGCAUGAUUUCGAGAUGGAUCAGUAAAUACUGUGAAUAAAUACUUUUUUGCUUAUUUAAUGAUAUUGAACAUACUCCUGUAGUUUUUGGCUGUUUGUGUUGUAAGUAGGUAUUAGGGAUGCUAAAUUGUCUAAACUCUUCUGGCUUAAGGUUAAGAUUUACUAUAAUACUUAUCUCAGACUCUUGUCUGGGAUAUGAUUGGGCAGCAUUAAAGGCAUUAGUUAAGGCAUUUUAAAAACAAAUUAUAUGUUUAAUCAUAAUUUUAUAAUUCAGUUUGUAAGGUAGUGUGACUUAAAGUGGAAUGUUUAAAUAUUUUAUACUGGAAAUGUUAGAACAAGUAUUUGUAGCAAAGAAUUUGUUGCUGUUGUACUAGGAAUGCUAUGAAGUUCACUGUCAGCCUAAAUUAAUUAGAAUGUUAAUGGAAAGGUAAUCUUAGCAUCUGCAACUGCAACUGCAUGCUCUAGAUACUGAGGAUUCAGCAGGGAACCACAUAAACAUUCUUCAUCUUACCAGACUUAGAAAUGUGUGGAUGGGAGAUGAUAGAGUGCAAAUGAGUAGCAUGCACAGUGGGUCAUUAGUGAAUGCUGUGACGAAGAAGUGGGGGAAGGACUAGGGUUAGAAUUCACGAUACAAUUUAAGUGGGUAGUUGUAAGGCCUCAUCGACAAGGUGACAUUGGACCAAAGCUCUGAAGGAGCUAAGCUAAGUCCUGUAGGUAUAUGAGGGAAGAGCAUUCCUGGCAGAGAGGAAAAGUAUAAAAACCCUUGCAACAAGACCAUUUACUGAAAUAUGUAUUAGGUUCUUACACUUCCCCAGCAUGAGCCCAGGAGUUGGUGAUGCUGCAUUGAACAAAACAUUAAAAAAUUAAUUUCUGUUUCUCGGUGUUUAUAUUUCAUCAUGCUUUGGUGUAUUGUAGCUCUGGAAUUGAUGUGACUACCUUUGAGGGGAUGGGAAGCCAUUGAGGGUUUUGAGCAGAGAAAAGUUAAGAUCUGAAUUACAUUCUAAAAAUAUGAUUGAUGGCUCUUUGAAGAACUGACUCUCAGGAGCAAGGGCAGAGGUAGGAAGGAGAGUUAAAAGGCUAUUAACAUAACCAGUGACUGGACCCAGAGCACAUUGGACGGUGAUCAAAGUUGAAACUCAGGUAUGUGGAGGUAGGUUUCCUGGGAGUUUGGAUGUGCUAUGAGAGAAAAGAAUGGCUCCAGGUUUUCUGGUGGGGAGGGCUUGAACUAGUGGCAGCAUGGUACACCAUCCCAAUAGUGAUGGGAAGACGGCAGUGUGGCGAAGGGUUGCGAGGGGCGAAUUAUGCUUUGAAUGGAUUAUAUUAGGGUGUUACUUAGACGUCCAGUGGGAGUGUCAUGAGUCAGAAAGGAAUCUACAGUGGAAAUGGUAAGAGGUAGAAGACUGAAUGCAGUUUACGUACUUUGAAAUCUAGGUUAAGUUGUUACACAUUCAUAAAGAUGAGUAUCAUUUCCCCUCCAGUAAAGAAUUUGAACUUCUUUGUGUGUCUGGCUUGAGCAAGAGCAGGACCCCGGGCACUCGGUGAGCAAGCAGCAAGCAGCGGAAAUUCAAUCCACUGAGACUUGGAAACAAUUUCUGUUCAGUUCAUCAAGUGUCAAGUGGUGGGACAGAAUGAUCAAUGGCUUGGCCAUUGCUUGUGAUAAAAUAUUUAGGAACAGAAAGAUGACUGUCUUUUCUACAGUGAUGUGGGGUAAGUAGGCAUUACCAUUAAUCACUUGAAGGAGUGGACAUUUAUCAAACACCAAGUGCCAGACUCUGUUACAUUAGCUCAUUCAAUGCUCGUAACUUCGAAGCUGACAAUUACUCCAUUUCACGGUGAA